rnacentral:tRNA from 1 species
CUUUAGCUCAGUUGGUUAGAGCAUCUGACUCUUAAUCAGAGUGUCCAGGGUUCGAGUCCCUGA